AUUGAACGCUGGCGGCAGGCCUAACACAUGCAAGUCGAACGAGUGGCGGACGGGUGAGUAAUGUCUGGGAAACUGCCCGAUGGAGGGGGAUCACUACUGGAAACGGUAGCUAAUACCACAUACCAUCGGAUGUGCCCAGAUGGGAUUAGCUAGUAGGUGGGGUAACGGCUCACCUAGGCGACGAUCCCUAGCCGGCCUGAGAGGGCGACCGGCCACAAUGGGACGGAGGGACGGCCCAAAGUCCAACGGGGGGCAGAAGGGGGGAAUAUUGCACAAUGGGGGAAACCCUGAGGCAGCAACGCCGCGGGCGGGAGGACGGCCUUCGGGUUGUAAACCGCUUUCAGCCAUGACGCGGUAGUGGCAGAAGAAGCACCGGCUAACUACGUGCCAGCCGCCGCGGUAAUUC
rnacentral:rRNA from 1 species